AUACGGAGGGUGCAAGCGUUGUUCGGAAUCACUGGGCGUAAGGGGCGCGCAGGUGGCUUGGUAAGUCAGAUGUGAAAGCCCACGGCUCAACCGUGGAAGUGCAUUUGAAACUGUCAGACUUGAGUGCUAGAGGGGAAAGUGGAAUUCCCGGUGUAGAGGUGAAAUUCGUAGAUAUUGGGAAGAACACCAGUGGCGAAGGCGGCUCACUGGCUCGGUUCUGACGCUGAGAUGCGAAAGCGUGGCGAGCAAACAGGAUUAGAUACCCCAGUAGUCC
rnacentral:rRNA from 1 species